rnacentral:misc_RNA from 1 species
GAUGAAGAACGUAGCGAAAUGCGAUAAGUAAUGUGAAUUGCAGAAUUCAGUGAAUCAUCGAAUCUUUGAACGCACCUUGCGCCCUUUGGCCAUUCCGAAGGGCAUGCCUGUUUGAGUAUCAUGAACACCUCAACUCUUUAUGGUUUUCCAUGAUGAGCUUGGACUCUGGGGGUUUUGCUGGCUCGCAGUCGGCUCCUCUAAAAUGAAUCAGCUUACCAGUGUUUGGUGGGUAUCAUGGGUGUGAUAACUAUCUACGCUUGUGGUUUUUCCACCAGGUAACCUUCAGCAGUGGAGGUUCGCUGGAGCUCAUAGAUGUCUCUCCUCAGUGAGGACAGCCCUUUGAAUGUUUGAUCUCAAAUCAGGUAGGACUACCCGCUGAACUUAAGCAUAUCAAUAAGCGGAGGA